UCCCUCUCAGGAUCACACCUGGAGUGUUUCCAGUACUCUACCAGUCUCAGCUACAGGAGGGAGAUUCAAGUAGAGGCCUACCCAUUUCAUUCCUAGCUUGAGCAGUGGCUAAUGAAUGGAAGGCAAUCUGCUAUAAGU